GCAUGCAAGUCGAACGAAUCCCAUCUGGGUAACUGGAUGGGGGAAGUGGCGAAAGGGGCAGUAAUGCGUGGGUAACCUACCCUGGGGACGGGGAUAGCCUUCCUAACGGAAGGGUAAUACCUGGCGAUUCGGCGAGAGGACAUCCUCAUGCCGGGAAAUGAGUUUCGCCUCGGGAGGGGCUCACGUGAUAUUAGCUAGUUGGUGAGGUAACGGCUCACCAAGGCGAAGAUGUCUAGCGGGUGUGAGAGCACGACCCGCGCCACUGGCACUGAGACACUGGCCAGACACCUACGGGUGGCUGCAGUCGAGGAUCUUUGGCAAUGGGCGCAAGCCUGACCAAGCGACGCCGCGUGUGCGAUGAAGGCCUUCGGGUUGUAAAGCACUGUCGAGGGGGAGGAAGCCGCAAGGUUGACCUAUCCCUGGAGGAAGCACGGACUAAGUUCGUGCCAGCAGCCGCGGUAAGACGAACCGUGCAAACGUUGUUCGGAAUCACUGGGCUUAAAGGGCGCGUAGGCGGGUUUCCAAGUCUGUGGUGAAAUCCUCCAGCUUAACUGGAGAAGUGCCGUGGAUACUGGAAGUCUCC
rnacentral:rRNA from 1 species